rnacentral:rRNA from 1 species
GGCUCAGGAUGAACGCUGGCGGCGUGCUUAAUACAUGCAAGUCGAACGGAGACUUUGUAGUAAUACGAAGUUCUCAGUGGCGAACGGGCGAGUAACGAGUUGGUGACCUGCCCCGAAGUGUGGGAUAACAGUCCGAAAGGAUUGCUAAUACCGCAUGUGAUCAUUGGAUUUAGAAACCGAUGAUUAAAGCAGUAAUGCGCUUCGGGAGGGACCUGCUUCCCAUCAGCUAGUUGGUGAGGUAAAGGCCCACCAAGGCUACGACGGGUAAGGGACCUGAGAGGGUGGUCCCUCGCGAUGGCACUGAAACACGGGCCAUACACCUACGGGUGGCAGCAGUAGGGAAUAUUGGGCAAUGGGCGAAAGCCUGACCCAGCAACGCCGCGUGCACGAUGAAGGCCUUCGGGUCGUAAAGUGCUUUUCUGAGGAAUGAGUAAGGACAGUACCUCAGGAAUAAGCCUCGGCUAACUACGUGCCAGCAGCCGCGGUAAAACGUAGGAGGCGAGCGUUAUCCGGAUUUACUGGGCGUAAAGCGUGUGUAGGCGGUUCGGCAAGUUGGAUGUGAAAGCUCCUGGCUUAACUAGGAGAGGUCGUUCAAUACUACCGAACUUGAGGGCAUCAGAGGAAGGUGGAAUUCCCGGUGUAGUGGUGAAAUGCGUAGAUAUCGGGAGGAACACCAGUGGCGAAAGCGGCCUUCUGGGAUGUUCCUGACGCUCAGACACGAAAGCUAGGGUAGCGAACGGGAUUAGAGACCCCGGUAGUCCUAGCAGUAAACGAUGUAGACUUGGUGUCGGAGGUGUCAAAACCUUCGGUAUCGAAGCUAACGCGAUAAGUCUACCGCC